UACGUAGGGGGCAAGCGUUGUCCGGAUUUAUUGGGCGUAAAGCGCUCGCAGGCGGUCCGAUGCGUCGUGCGUGAAAGCCCACGGCUCAACCGUGGAGGAUCAUUGGAAACUGGGGGACUUGAGUGCAGAAGAGGAAAGCGGAAUUCCACGUGUAGCGGUGAAAUGCGUAGAGAUGUGGAGGAACACCAGUGGCGAAGGCGGCUUUCUGGUCUGUAACUGACGCUGAGGCGCGAAAGCGUGGGAGCAAACAGG
rnacentral:rRNA from 1 species